GACGAACGCUGGCGGCGUGCUUAAAACAUGCAAGUCGAACGGACUUCUCAUGAAGCUUGCGAUUGAGAAGUUAGUGGCGGACGGGUGAGUAACGCGUGGGCAACCUGCCCCUGAGCCCGGGAUAACAGUUCGAAAGGACUGCUAAGACCGGAUAUACUUGCGGGGAAGCAUUUCUUGUAAGGAAAGGGAACGCUCAGGGAUGGGCCCGCGUCCCAUUAGCUAGUUGGUGAGGUAACGGCCCACCAAGGCGACGAUGGGUAGCCGGCCUGAGAGGGUGAACGGCCACACUGGGACUGAGACACGGCCCAGACUCCUACGGGAGGCAGCAGUUGGGAAUCUUCGGCAAUGGGCGCAAGCCUGACCGAGCAACGCCGCGUGAGUGAUGAAGGUUUUCGGAUUGUAAAGCUCUGUCUUCCGGGACGAUAAUGACGGUACCGGAGGAGGAAGCCACGGCUAACUACGUG
rnacentral:rRNA from 1 species